AUUGAACGCUGGCGGCAUGCCUUACACAUGCAAGUCGAACGGUAACAGGUCUUCGGAUGCUGACGAGUGGCGAACGGGUGGGUAAUACAUCGGAACGUGCCUAGUAGGGGGGGAUAACUACUCGAAAGAGUGGCUAAUACCACAUGAGAUCUACGGAUGAAAGCAGGGGAUCGCAAGAGCUUGUGCUACUAGAGCGGACGAUGGCAGAUUAGGUAGUUGGUGGGUUAAAUGCUUACCAAACCGACGAUCUGUAGCUGGUCUGAUAGGACGAUUAGCCACACUGGAUCGGAGACAGGGCCCAGACUCCUGCGGGAGGCAGAAGAGGUGAAUGGUAGACAAUGGGCUAAACCCUGAUCCAGCAAUGCCACGUGCAGGAUGAGUGCCUUCGGGUUGUACACUGCUUGUGUACGUAACGAAACAGUCCUGGUUAAUUCCUGGGGCUAAUGACGGUACCGUAAGAAUAAGCACCGGCUAACUACGUGCCAGCCGCCGCGGUAA
rnacentral:rRNA from 1 species